rnacentral:lncRNA from 1 species
UCUCUUGAUGAAGAGAAGAUUCUGCCAGCAGACAGCCAUCAGACUUGAACUGCAACUCUUCCCUGGGUCUCCAGCCAGCAGAUUUUGGACCAGCACUGCUACAAUCAUGUCCUGGUUCCUAGAGAGAGGUUAAGAGUUCUACAACUCCAGAAGAAAUAUAGCCCUCUCCCAGAGGUCAUGCCCCUAGGAGCAGCAGAAUGAGAGCUUCAAUCCGCAUGCUUGAUUCACUAUUUCUCCCUCUUGGAUCUUGUCUUCCCAAAACCUUACAGGGUCAUGUGGGAAAGACAAUAUAUCUUCUUAUGCCGAGGAUGGAGCAGAACACAGGGAGGAGGGAAGAGCCAGGACAACACAGAGCAGAGGAGCUCAGCCAUGUGGACUCUGCCUGAGGCCACACUGCAGAGGACCUCUUGUUAUGUAAGAUCCUAAAUUGGCUCAUGGCUUAGCCAGCUUGAGUGAGGCUUUAUUUGCUUGAAGGCAUUUGAACCUAUACACCAUAUUCACCUCUCCAUUUGUAUGUGUUGUUUCUUCUGCCUGGAACCUUUUUACGACCAUUUAUCUCCUCUUUCCUACUCAUCCAUGAAGCCUCAACUCAGGCAUACUUCUACCAGGGGGCCAUCUAUGGUCCCUCAAGAGAAGGCAUCUUUCCUUUGUGCUCCUAUAGUACUGCGUGAGAA